rnacentral:misc_RNA from 1 species
UGUUUCUACUAUUGUAUUUUGUGAAGAGCUAUCUACAAUCCAUGACAGCAAGACUUGAACAAUGGAGAAUUAAAAGAAGGGACACUGAGGAGUGGAUGAGGCACCGUCAGCUACCUGAAGAUCUGCAGGAUCGUGUUCGUCGAUUUGUUCAAUAUAAAUGGUUAGCUACAAGAGGUGUCGAGGAAGAAGAAAUUUUACUUUCCUUACCCUUGGAUUUAAGGCGUCAGAUUCAAAGGCACCUCUGCCUGGCACUUGUUCGUCGUGUCCCUUUCUUCUCCCAGAUGGAUGAUCAACUUUUGGAUGCAAUAUGUGAAUGCCUUGUUUCAUCAUUGAACACGAAAGACACGUUUAUUGUUCGUGAAGGAGAUCCAGUAAAUGAGAUGCUUUUCAUAAUUAGAGGUCAACUUGAGAGUUCAACAACCAAUGGAGGAAGGUCAGGGUUCUUCAACUCCAUUGUGCUAAAUCCGGGUGAUUUUUGUGGUGAAGAAUUGCUAACAUGGGCCUUGGUGCCCAACCCAAAUCUUAAUCUUCCAUCUUCAACUCGAACAGUGAGAUGCCUUACAGAAGUUGAAGCAUUUGCACUUAGAGCUGAAAAGCUCAAGUUUGUCGCAAACCAGUUCAGACGCCUCCAUAGUAAAAAACUACAACAUGCAUUUCGAUACUACUCACACCAAUGGAGGACGUGGGGAGCUUGCUAUAUACAAGCUGCAUGGAG